rnacentral:rRNA from 1 species
CCUACGGGUGGCAGCAGUAGGGAAUCUUCGGCAAUGGACGAAAGUCUGACCGAGCAACGCCGCGAGAGUGAAGAAGGUUUUCGGAUCGUAAAACUCUGUUGGUAGAGAAGAACGUUGGUGAGAGUGGAAAGCUCAGCAAGUGACGGUAACUACCCAGAAAGGGACGGCGAACUACGGGCCAGCAGCCGAGGGAAUACGUAGGGCCCGAGCGUUGUCCGGAUUUAUUGGGCGUAAAGCGAGCGCAGGUGGUUUAUUAAGUCUGGUGUAAAAGGCAGGGGCUCAACCCUUGUGUGCAUUGGAAACUGGUAGACUUGAUUGCAGGAGAGGAGAGUGGAAUUCCGUGUGUAGCGGU